GAGUGGCGAACGGGUGAGUAAUACAUCGGAACGUACCCAGAAGUGGGGGAUAACGUAGCGAAAGUUACGCUUAAUACCGCAUACGUUCUACGGAAGAAAGUGGGGGAUCGCAAGACCUCAUGCUUUUGGAGCGGCCGAUGUCUGAUUAGCUAGUUGGUGAGGUAAAGGCUCACCAAGGCGACGAUCAGUAGCUGGUCUGAGAGGACGACCAGCCACACUGGAACUGAGACACGGUCCAGACUCCUACGGGAGGCAGCAGUGGGGAAUUUUGGACAAUGGGCGCAAGCCUGAUCCAGCAAUGCCGCGUGAGUGAAGAAGGCCUUCGGGUUGUAAAGCUCUUUUGUCAGGGAAGAAACGGCAGGGGCUAAUAUCCUUUGCUAAUGACGGUACCUGAAGAAUAAGCACCGGCUAGUACGUGCG
rnacentral:rRNA from 1 species